CAACAUAUUGAAGGCGGGGGAUUUGAAUUUCGUAAUUACCUUAGGGUUGUGCCUUGAAAUCAACACAUUGGAGGGAAAAUUGUUUUCCAUAGAGAUUUGAGUCGAAAUCUGCAUCAGGGUUUUUGAUGAAGCACUGAUAUGGCAAGUUUUGAACAUUGGAGAAAGGGUAAAUGAAAAAGAGACAAACCUGAGAGCCAAGAUUGGUGUAGUUUGAGAGAUGAGGUGGAAGGAUUUUGGUUUGAAUUUCAAACCAGUGAGGACCAAGGACAGUAUAAGCUUGCAUGGAUUUGGAAUUUGAUUUUGUUUUUGAUUAAUUUUUCUCACUGCUGCUAACCUAAAAUGGGAACGGCACAGACGAGGAAAGCGACGCAUCACUCAUCCUCCUGCCAGCGAAACUUUUUUCCUUCCUUCGUAUUGGGCCUAAAUGAAACGGGCCUUGCAAUUUCGACCCAAUUGUGUGGCCCUUUGAUCAUUUCUUCACACAUUUUUUCCCUCCAUGAUAAAAUUUGAAAACUUUGCCUAAAUGAGGAUAAAUUUUUGUCUAAACAUGAAAGUUAAAAUCCUAUGUGGAGGUGCUUAUAGGAUGACACUUGUCUUUUUUUACUAUUUGUUGGUUUGCAAUUGUGUAGUUUUAGAGAUU
rnacentral:lncRNA from 1 species